rnacentral:rRNA from 1 species
ACUCAAAGGAAUUGACGGGGGCCCGCACAAGCGGCGGAGCAUGCGGAUUAAUUCGAUGCAACGCGAAGAACCUUACCUGGGUUUGACAUACCGAGAAAUCCUCCAGAGAUGGGGGGUCCGUAAGGGUUCGGUACAGGUGGUGCAUGGCUGUCGUCAGCUCGUGUCGUGAGAUGUUGGGUUAAGUCCCGCAACGAGCGCAACCCUCGUUCCAUGUUGCCAGCAGCCUCCUCGUUCGCGAGGGGGGCUGGGGACUCAUGGGAGACUGCCGGGGUCAACUCGGAGGAAGGUGGGGAUGACGUCAAGUCAUCAUGCCCCUUAUGUCCAGGGCUUCACGCAUGCUACAAUGGCCGGUACAAAGGGCUGCGAUCCCGUGAGGGGGAGCGAAUCCCAAAAAGCCGGUCUCAGUUCGGAUUGGGGUCUGCAACUCGACCCCAUGAAGUCGGAGUCGCUAGUAAUCGCAGAUCAGCAACGCUGCGGUGAAUACGUUCCCGGGCCUUGUACACACCGCCCGU